rnacentral:rRNA from 1 species
CCACGGGCGGCUGCAGUGGGGAAUAUUGCACAAUGGGCGCAAGCCUGAUGCAGCCAUGCCGCGUGUAUGAAGAAGGCCUUCGGGUUGUAAAGUACUUUCAGCGGGGAGGAAGGGAGUAAAGUUAAUACCUUUGCUCAUUGACGUUACCCGCAGAAGAAGCACCGGCUAACUCCGUGCCAGCAGCCGCGGUAAUACGGAGGGUGCAAGCGUUAAUCGAAAUUACUGGGCGUAAAGCGCACGCAGGCGGUUUGUUAAGUCAGAUGUGAAAUCCCCGGGCUCAACCUGGGAACUGCAUCUGAUACUGGCAAGCUUGAGUCUCGUAGAGGGGGGUAGAAUUCCAGGUGUAGCGGUGAAAUGCGUAGAGAUCUGGAGGAAUACCGGUGGCGAAGGCGGCCCCCUGGACGAAGACUGACGCUCAGGUGCGAAAGCGUGGGGAGCAAACAGGAUUAGAUACCCCGGUAGUC